UGUUGUCGAUGAUGCCAACAUUACCUUACCUACCUUGUUCGAAUAUCAAACAUGAGAAAAUCUCAUAAAAUCUGAGGCAACG